rnacentral:rRNA from 1 species
GACAGAGGGUGCAAACGUUGUUCGGAAUUACUGGGCGUAAAGCGUGUGUAGGCGGUUUGCUAAGUCGGGUGUGAAAGCCCCGGGCUCAACCCGGGAAGUGCACUCGAAACUGGCAAGCUAGAGUACUGGAGAGGUUGGUGGAAUUCUCGGUGUAGAGGUGAAAUUCGUAGAUAUCGAGAGGAACACCGGUGGCGAAGGCGGCCAACUGGACAGAUACUGACGCUGAGACACGAAAGCGUGGGGAGCAAACAGG